GGCUAGAAGAAAGAAAAUACAUUUCAAUGAAAGAACAUAUGGUAUACCGUAUGUUUUAUGAACGCAUGUUGAAUUUUCUAUACAAGCGUCAGGUCGUAAGAGUGAGAAUGCUAUGUGUUUAUGAGUGGAUAUUGAUAAAGCAUAGUGGGUAGUAAUUUGGAGCAUACGAUUAAUGAUAAAGGAAACGAAUUGAAAUACUUUGCAUAGAUACAAAUGUAAAAUGGAACCGAACUAAAAAUAUGUAUUCGGUUACCUGUAUUCAUCUAUUGUGCAGUCUGACAUCUAUACGUGAAAAAUUAUGAAGAGCAGAGUAGCAAAAAUAUGUUUCCAAUAUUCUCUUCAGAUAUUGAAAAGAAAUCUGAUUAAAAAAUAUUGAGUUUUAAAAAGGGUUUUCAGUACCAGUAUGGAUUUUAAAUAAAAUGAAAAUAGAAAUAUAAUGUAUAACAAUCAGUUAUAUGUAUUUUAAUUUCUUGGAGAUGCAACUAAAGAAAUGGAACUUGAAGGAUUGAAAAAGAAAAUGAUACAAUCUAAAAGA